rnacentral:rRNA from 1 species
AACGAACGCUGGCGGCGCGCCUAACACAUGCAAGUCGAACGCGAAAGUGUAGCAAUACAUGAGUAAAGUGGCGCACGGGUGAGUAACGCGUAGGUGAUCUACCUCUGCGAUCGGGAUAACCAGCCGAAAGGUUGGCUAAUACCGGAUAGAGCGCAAGGGACGUAAAGUUUCUUGCGGGAAAUGAGGGCGUAGUCACCGAGCGUUCAAGCUUGAAGAGCUUGAACGCCGGGUGAUUACGCUCUUGCGCUGAGAUGAGCCUGCGUCUCAUUA